UACGGAGGGGGCUAGCGUUGUUCGGAAUUACUGGGUGUAAAGCGCGCGUAGGCGGACCUGCAAGUCGGGGGUGAAAGCCCGAGGCUCAACCUCGGAACUGCCUUCGAUACUGCGGGUCUCGAGUCCGGGAGAGGUGAGUGGAAUUCCUAGUGUAGAGGUGAAAUUCGUAGAUAUUAGGAAGAACACCAGUGGCGAAGGCGGCUCACUGGCCCGGUACUGACGCUGAGGCGCGAAAAGCGUGGGGAGCAAACAGG
rnacentral:rRNA from 1 species